GAGAAGCUUUAUCCUGCAUCCACAGAAUGGAGACAACUUCCUGUCAUCCAAAGUUCUGUUGGGAAAAAGACAUGCCAGCAAGAUGCUCCAGAGUCACUGGCUUAAAUGGAAAUUUGACAUCGGAUGCUCUGUACGGACCAGUCCUGAAAAUGACACAAACUCCUCCUCAUCAUAUUCCUAAAGAACAGCAUAGUACCAUAAUCAUGCUUUACAGUGAAUGUGAC
rnacentral:lncRNA from 1 species